rnacentral:rRNA from 1 species
UACAGAGGGUGCAAGCGUUGUUCGGAAUUAUUGGGCGUAAAGCGCGUGUAGGCGGCCUUGCAAGUUGGGUGUGAAAGCCCUCGGCUUAACCGAGGAAGUGCGCCCAAAACUACGAGGCUUGAGUGCCGGAGAGGGUGGCGGAAUUCCCGGUGUAGAGGUGAAAUUCGUAGAUAUCGGGAGGAACACCAGUGGCGAAGGCGGCCACCUGGACGGUAACUGACGCUGAGACGCGAAAGCUAGGGGAGCGAAC